GGAAUAUUGCGCAAUGGACGGAAGUCUGACGCAGCGACGCCGCGUGGAUGAUGAAGGCCUUCGGGUUGUAAAAUCCUUUUCAGGGGGAAGAGUGAGGACGGUACCCCUGGAAUAAGCGUCGGCUAACUACGUGCCAGCAGCCGCGGUAAGACGUAGGACGCGAGCGUUAUCCGGAUUUACUGGGCGUAAAGCGUCUGUAGGCGGAAGUGUAAGUUGGACGUGAAAGCUCCGGGCUCAACUCGGAGAGGCCGUUCAAUACUGCACAACUAGAGGCCAUCAGAGGGGCGUGGAAUUUCCGGUGUAGCGGUAAAAUGCGCAGAUAUCGGAAGGAACACCAGUGGCGAAGGCGGCGCCCUGGGGUGGGCCUGACGCUAAGAGACGAAAGCUAGGGGAGCGAACAG
rnacentral:rRNA from 1 species